rnacentral:rRNA from 1 species
CCUACGGGAGGCAGCAGUGAGGAAUAUUGGUCAAUGGACGAGAGUCUGAACCAGCCAAGUAGCGUGAAGGAUGACUGCCCUAUGGGUUGUAAACUUCUUUUAUAUGGGAAUAAAAUGUUCCACGUGUGGGAUUUUGUAUGUACCAUAUGAAUAAGGAUCGGCUAACUCCGUGCCAGCAGCCGCGGUAAUACGGAGGAUCCGAGCGUUAUCCGGAUUUAUUGGGUUUAAAGGGAGCGUAGGUGGAUUGUUAAGUCAGUUGUGAAAGUUUGCGGCUCAACCGUAAAAUUGCAGUUGAAACUGGCAGUCUUGAGUACAGUAGAGGUGGGCGGAAUUCGGGGUGUAGCGGUGAAAUGCUUAGAUAUCACGAAGAACUCCGAUUGCGAAGGCAGUUCACUGGACUGAAACUGACACUGAGGCUCGAAAGUGUGGGUAUCAAACAGGAUUAGAUACCCUUUAGUC